GACGAACGCUGGCGGCGUGCUUAACACAUGCAAGUCGAACGGAAAGGACCUGAUUUUGUGGGGUGCUCGAGUGGCGAACGGGUGAGUAACACGUGAGUAACCUGCCCUUGACUUUGGGAUAACUUCAGGAAACUGGGGCUAAUACCGGAUAGGAGCUCCUGCUGCAUGGUGGGGGUUGGAAAGUUUCGGCGGUUGGGGAUGGACUCGCGGCUUAGCAGCUUGUUGGUGGGGUAGUGGCUUACCAAGGCUUUGACGGGUAGCCGGCCUGAGAGGGUGACCGGCCACAUUGGGACUGAGAUACGGCCCAGACUCCUACGGGAGGCAGCAGUGGGGAAUAUUGCACAAUGGGCGGAAGCCUGAUGCAGCAACGCCGCGUGCGGGAUGACGGCCUUCGGGUUGUAAACCGCUUUCGCCUGUGACGAAGCGUGAGUGACGGUAAUGGGUAAAGAAGCACCGGCUAACUACGUG
rnacentral:rRNA from 1 species